CAUUUCUAAAAGAUGUCUCACACCACCAACUUUAUAUAAAGGCUUCGUUUUUUUUUGGAAAGCUAGCCACAAAAGGUGCGAGUGUCGACGUGAAGAGGAUUAAAAACUAAAGCAGAAAUAAAGACUAUUCUUUGAGUUUAGGUGCAGAAGGGGACAUUAUGGGCGUUGGCACUAUUUUAGUGCUGCUAGUGGCUAUGGCGAUUUGUACGCCUUCUGGAGCACAAAUUUGUAGCAUCAGUGAUGGGCUGACAGUGGCAUCGACAGCGAUUGUGUCACUUGUGGCGACUUUGGACGAAGCUUUUGUAGCGCAGUUGAAGAAUAAAAGCAGUGCCGAAUACAAAAAACUUGAAACGCAAGUGCAAACCAUGUGCGACUUGAUCUUCAUCCAAGCAUUUAGAGCUAAUUUCAUCAACACCACUGUUGUUGGAUUUAGUCCACAGAUGGGAAACACGACAGUAGAGGUGGUGUUGGAGUUCAGCAAUACAUCGUCUUAUCCAAUCCCAGAAGACGACCUCGUGGUAGAAAGGUUCGUACAGAUGGCAAAUAACUCCUGCAACCCCUUCAGACUCGCUGUGGACCCAAAAUCAAUCGCAGUAAUUCCAUCAACCACCACACGAGGACCACUGACAACAACUUACAAGCCAACAACAUUUCAUAUGAUUUCAACCAGAAAGGUCGAUAAAACAACAAAGACAAUGACCUCAGUUCCCUCACCAGUUGUGCCUGUCGAAGCGCUUUUGGAGGAACUUUUUGUGACAGAAUUUAAUGAUCCCAACAGUGAACAAUACCAAACUCUUCAAACACAAGUGGUA